CCUCCCCUCACGGUCUCUUGGUGUCUGCUACGCCCACAAGAUAGAUCUGUUACCUUGCAAGAAAAGAAAUAUCUCCACACCUAAAAGGAAAAGAAGGAAACUUGUAACUCAUUCCCUGCAUCAGGCGUUUCGGGUAUGUCUGACUAAAACCGUGUGCUGUAGCUGACGCCUCACACCAACAGAUGUUUUCACACGCAGCAACACUUCGGAAGAUAGGAGUCAGCGUGAACACAGCAGCCUACUAAUGGUGCCAUCUCUGCAAAAGCUGAGCGCGCUGUCAUCCGCUGAGCGUCACCAGCGCAAAGCAUCUGCUUGGGGAGCCUGUGAUGAGAAAACAUGCUCGUAAAAGUCGAGCGGUACAGUAGGAUGCCGGGGCAUUCGCAGAAGGGGCUCUGACAAGCACCGGAAGCUUCCUGCAUCUCCUCUCAACCCCACGGCUGCACCAGCAAGGAGAAGUCACCAGACCACGGAUGAUGAGUUCUGCUGCAGCGGAGCGCGUCAGGCACCAAUAAAACAGAAAGUACCAGAGAGUAUAUGAACGGACAUGAACGGUGGUGUGUGUUGAUUAUAUUUUUUGAUGGCACCACUUUGAGAAGGUUACUGUGGCCGUCGGCAGGACGCAGAUGUCCAGAGUGCAUCAGCGUGUGCGUCUCUCCUUUGCGGAGCAUAAACUAGGCUUAACAGUGAUGCUAAUACAUGUGUGUUAGUGACUGAGGUAAUUUAAACCCUUUAUAAAGAUUUUCAAAUAGGAAAAGCAAGCCUUGGGUGAAGAUUCUUGUUUUUAUUUUAGUCGUUUCUUAGCUCUAGCUACACAUAACUAUGUGCUGUGAGGCAACCUUCUACUUCUGAAUCUGUGCCUGAUGAACUAAAACAUCUCAAAAACAUUA